rnacentral:rRNA from 1 species
AGCAGCCGCGGUAAUUCCAGCUCCAAUAGCGUAUAUUAAAGUUGUUGCAGUUAAAAAGCUCGUAGUUGAAUUUCGGGAUCAAUAUAACGGUCAUGCCGUUGGUAUGCACUGUUAUAAUUGAUUUCUCACCUUCUAAAGAACCGUAAUGCCAUUAAUUUGGUGUCACGGGGAAUUAGGACUGUUACCUUGAAAAAAUUAGAGUGUUUAAAGCAGGCUCACGCUUGAAUACAUUAGCAUGGAAUAAUGAAAUAGGACAUCCGAUUCUAUUUUGUUGGUUUCUAGGAUCGAUGUAAUGAUUAAUAGGGAUAGUUGGGGGCAUUAGUAUUCAAUUGUCAGAGGUGAAAUUCUUGGAUUUAUUGAAGACUAACUACUGCGAAAGCAUUUGCCAAGGAUGUUUUCAUUAAUCAAGAACGAAAGUUAGGGGAUCGAAGACGAUCAGAUACCGUCGUAGUCUUAACCAUAAACUAUGCCGACUAGGGAUCGGAUGAUGUUAAUUUUUUAAUGACUCAUUCGGCGCCUUACG